rnacentral:rRNA from 1 species
CACCUGCGCCACAAGUGGCAAUCGCAUUUAUUGGGCCUAAAGCGUUCGUAGCCGGAUCAGACAGUCUUGAGUGAAAUCGUUGCGCUUAACAAAACGACGUGCUUGAGAUACUACUGAUCUUGAGACCGGGAGGCGUUAGGGGUAUUCCUGAGGGAGCGGUAAAAUGCUAUAAUCUCAGGAGGACCACCUGUGGCGAAGGCGCCUAACGAGAACGGGUCUGACGGUGAGGAACGAAAGCUAGGGGAGCAAACCGG